rnacentral:rRNA from 1 species
AUUGCAGAAUUCAGUGGAAUCAUCGAAUCUUUGAACGCACAUUGCGCCCCUUGGUAUCCCGAGGGGCAUGCCUGUUCGAGCGUCAU